rnacentral:ncRNA from 24 species
GGGUGCGCGGUCCGUCGUUCGGAUCGGCAGGUUGAGCGCUGGUCGGGCCGCCAGCG